CCUACGGGUGGCAGCAGUCGAGAAUCAUUCACAAUGGGGGAAACCCUGAUGGUGCGACGCCGCGUGGGGGAAUGAAGGUCUUCGGAUUGUAAACCCCUGUCAUGUGGGAGCAAAUUAAAAAGAUAGUACCACAAGAGGAAGAGACGGCUAACUCUGUGCCAGCAGCCGCGGUAAUACAGAGGUCUCAAGCGUUGUUCGGAAUCACUGGGCGUAAGGCGUGCGUAGGCUGUUUCGUAAGUCGUGUGUGAAAGGCGCGGGCUCAACCCGCGGACGGCACAUGAUACUGCGAGACAAGAGUAAUGGAGGGGGAACCGGAAUUCUCGGUGUAGCAGUGAAAUGCGUAGAUAUCGAGAGGAACACUCGUGGCGAAGGCGGGUUCCUGGACAUUAACUGACGCUGAGGCACGAAGGCCAGGGGAGCGAAAGGGAUUAGAUACCCCUGUAGUC
rnacentral:rRNA from 1 species